rnacentral:rRNA from 1 species
GCAAGUCGAGCGCGAAAGCACUUCGGUGUGAGUAGAGCGGCGGACGGGUGAGUAACGCGUAAGAAUCUACCUAGUAGUGGGGGACAACUCGAGGAAACUCGAGCUAAUACCGCAUACGCCCUAUGGGGGAAAGCGGGGGACCUUCGGGCCUCGCGCUAUUGGAUGAGCCUGCGUCGGAUUAGCUUGUUGGUGAGGUAAAGGCUCACCAAGGCGACGAUCCGUAGCUGGUCUGAGAGGAUGAUC